CUCAGGACGAACGCUGGCGGCGUGCUUAACACAUGCAAGUCGAACGCUGAAGCUUGGUGCUUGCACUGGGUGGAUGAGUGGCGAACGGGUGAGUAAUACGUGAGUAACCUGCCCUUGACUCUGGGAUAAGCCUGGGAAACUGGGUCUAAUACUGGAUACGACAUGUCACCGCAUGGUGGUGUGUGGAAAGGGUUUUACUGGUUUUGGAUGGGCUCACGGCCUAUCAGCUUGUUGGUGGGGUAAUGGCUCACCAAGGCGACGACGGGUAGCCGGCCUGAGAGGGUGACCGGCCACACUGGGACUGAGACACGGCCCAGACUCCUACGGGAGGCAGCAGUGGGGAAUAUUGCACAAUGGGCGAAAGCCUGAUGCAGCGACGCCGCGUGAGGGAUGACGGCCUUCGGGUUGUAAACCUCUUUCAGCACGGAAGAAGCGAAAGUGACGGUACGUGCAGAAGAAGCGCCGGCUAACUACGUGCCAGCAGCCGCGGUAAUACGUAGGGCGCAAGCGUUGUCCGGAAUUAUUGGGCGUAAAGAGCUCGUAGGCGGUUUGUCGCGUCUGCUGUGAAAGCCCGGGGCUUAACCCCGGGUGUGCAGUGGGUACGGGCAGACUUGAGUGCAGUAGGGGAGACUGGAAUUCCUGGUGUAGCGGUGAAAUGCGCAGAUAUCAGGAGGAACACCGAUGGCGAAGGCAGGUCUCUGGGCUGUUACUGACGCUGAGGAGCGAAAGCAUGGGGAGCGAACAGGAUUAGAUACCCUGGUAGUCCAUGCCGUAAACGUUGGGCACUAGGUGUGGGGAACAUUCCACG
rnacentral:rRNA from 1 species